UGUUUAGUGAGUCUGCCAGAUCAGAGGCAGUAGGGAUGACCAGGGAUGUUCUCUUGAUAGGUUUGUGAAUUAGACCAUUUUUCUGUCCAUUUUUCUUCCUCAACUGAAACCUGAUGUGGACUGUCUUUGGAUGGGCAGAGGUGGGCCUGACUGCCUGUCUAGAGGGAGAGGGGGAAAUGGGGCAGGUGCUUUGGUGCAGCAACGGCCAAUUGCAGGCUAGAGGGCAGGGCUGGUUAGGGGGAGGGUAUCAAAACCAGAAUUGUAUUUAAGGCGUGGGCAAACACUGGAGCUGUCUACUUGUGCUGUGCCCCUGUCCAGCCGGCCAGUUGCUCUCUCUCUCUCUCUCUCUCUCUCUCUCUCUCUUGUCUUUCUGUCUGCCUGUUUUUCUCUCUGCCGGACCAGGUCUCCUCCACCAUGCUGGUAAAAGCGCUCCUUCAGACCUCACUGGUCCUAUGGCUGGCACAGCACACACUACAAGGAGGAGUGAAACCUCAAAGUGGCGGUAUGGGGAAAAUGCUACCCAGGGGGGCUGGUGCUCUUGGGAUACAGGGAGGCUACGGAGCCAAGCCCGCCAAAACCGGAGGAGCUGGGGGUGGUCAUUAUCCAGGGGGGGCUCAGCAGCUUGGAGGAGG